ACUUAGGUACAAAAUAGCCUAUAAUUAGCUUAGCUAGCUCCGAAAUGGCUUAAUAAGCAUAGUUUGCUCCGAAAUGACCUAUUUUACCCAAGUUAGCUACGAAAGGACCUAUAGUUAGCUAGGCUUCCACCUAAAUGACAUAAUUAGCUUAGUUAGCUCCAAAAUGGCCUAUUUAAUAAAAAUGACCUAUACUUAGCUAAGUUCUCUCCUAAAUGACAUAAUAAGGCCUAAGAGAAGAAGAGAAGAGGAAAAAAAUAAGAAGGGGAAGAAGAGAAAAAAGAAGAAAAU
rnacentral:lncRNA from 1 species